AUUGGACAAUGGGCGAAAGCCUGAUCCAGCCAUGCCGCGUGUGUGAAGAAGGUCUUCGGAUUGUAAAGCACUUUAAGUUGGGAGGAAGGGCCAGUAACCUAAUACGUUGCUGGUCUUGACGUUACCGACAGAAUAAGCACCGGCUAACUCUGUGCCAGCAGCCGCGGUAAUACAGAGGGUGCAAGCGUUAAUCGGAAUUACUGGGCGUAAAGCGCGGGCGUAGGUGGUUUGUUAAGUUGGAUGUGAAAUCCCCGGGCUCAACCUGGGAACUGCAUUCAAAACUGACAAGCUAGAGUAUGGUAGAGGGUGGUGGAAUUUCCUGUGUAGCGGUGAAAUGCGUAGAUAUAGGAAGGAACACCAGUGGCGAAGGCGACCACCUGGACUGAUACUGACACUGAGGUGCGAAAGCGUGGGGAGCAAAC
rnacentral:rRNA from 1 species